rnacentral:lncRNA from 1 species
GGCUCUCGUUUCCGCAGGGCCAGCAGGCUGCAGCCCCUGGACGGACGCAGACCUGGGACACCCAGCGCUGCUCCCACCACACUCGCUGGUCAGACAGUGCACCCGCCAGGCCGGGCUGGAUCACAGCACCUUGUGUUUACUGGAAAGCCCAGCAUUCUGGGAAAACUGAGCUUGUCCAUCCUUCAAAACUCAGUUGCUUCAAUUAGCAGCUGUCUGGGUGAGAGACGAUGGGGGCACGUGGCUCCUAAGGAAGCAGGACGGAGGUGCUUGUAGCCAUGGGACCCCGCGGCCCACAGGGAGCCUCAGCCGGGAGAGAGGACUCAGCACGACCAGGGUCUCCUGGUCACGGCAUUCGCGCAUCGCAGCAGGACAGACAUUGCAGGAGAUGGCGAGGUGUACCCGGGACCUCUCUGCACUGAGCGAAACCUCACAUGAAGGUGUAAUUAUUUGAAAAUAAAAAGGUUUUGUGAAAGCAAGCUGUUUUAAUAGUUUACCCAACAGACUCGAUGUGGUAAAGAGGUUGCCCUGUCAUGGCAGUGAGGAGCCAAGCGGGACCCUCAACCUCCUCCUUGGUGACCCUCUGCCCCAGGCCCUCUGCUCGCCUGUGGAGCAGCUGGGGGAAGGCAAGUAAGGCACAGUUAGGACUGAUGGCAGAGCCUGGAUGGAUGGAGGCGCAGUCAUCCUCCGGGCCCUGGCCCCGCCGUCACACCCGGGGCGGGAGGCGUGGACGAGCCACCGUCCACUCCAGGCCCCUGGAAGACGGCUACACGUGGGCUGGAGGAGCGGGGAGGGGCGGGGCGAGCCUGGCUGAGCUGCGGCCGCACUUAGGACGCUCUUCACAGGAGGAGGGGGCAGGUGCCCCGUGCUGCUCUCCAGGCGGGAAGCAGGCAGGGCCCGAGACCACAGCCAGCCGGCUUCUCCCCGCCUUGAGCAGGCCGGGGGUGUGCAGUGAGGGGCUGUGCCCACCCCUUCCUGGGGGGCUGUGGGGGGAAGGAGUGUGAGCACUGAGUUGUCAGAAGCUAUCAGCAGCCUUUUGCCUUCAACCUUUCCCAGCAUCAGGGUCUUUUCCAAUGAGUCAGCUCUUCA